GCUUGCUUCUGCAGCAUACACUUAAAUUGGACCAAUACAGACAAGAUCAGCAUAGCCCUGUGCAAGGAUGACCCACAAAUUCAAGAUGUGCUCCACAUUCUU
ensembl:snRNA U6 U6 spliceosomal RNA